rnacentral:lncRNA from 1 species
GGCGGCUCACGCCUGCAAUCUCAGGACUUUGGAUGGCUGAGGCGGAAGGAUCUCUUGAACCGGCCAUAGUGGCUCAUACCUGUGGUCCCAGCCACUCAGGAGGCUGAAGUGGGAGGAUAGCUUGAGCCUGGGAAUUCCAGGCUGGGUGAGCCGAGAUCGCGCCAUUGGCCUCCAGAUCAAGUGACAGAGCCAGACCCCGUCUCAAAAAAAAAAAAAAGAAAGGAAACAUCAUACAACAUGAGGCAUACUUUACACUGAAGAAAAGUUUAGAAGAGAAAGCAUGAUUUACAUUGGAUCCGUUGACAUCAUCAUGUGAUGGAGAGGCCUUUGGAGUCAGCCAGACUCAUCUCAACUCUGCCACUUACUCAUUGUAUGAAACGCGGAAAAGUUCAGUAAAACCACCAAGUAAGUGGUGGAGCUGGGACUCAGUCCAGGCACCCAGACAACCUGGUUCCAGAGUUGGGCUCUACAUUUUACUGCCAAUGCAGUUCAUGGAAAUAACAAAGAUGUGACCUGGAGAAAUACCCAUGACUGUAGCUUUGUGCUUUCACACCCAACCAGGCUACCUCCACAAAUCAGUCUGGCCAGUGCUCACUACUCCAGGCCCCAGAGUCAGAUUUUGUCAUAGUUGCUUAUUGUCAAUUUCCUCCUUCUCUUAAGGAGACUGCAAACCCCUUCUCAGGCCAGUGUCUAUUCAGGGUGGUUUUUGCUCACCCCAGUUCAGACUCCUAACCGGAGUACAAGGCGUUAGAAAGGGGUGGACCGAGGACAGAGGAAGAAUGGUAGGCUCCACAAACCUAGUGCAGAAAGGUAAGACAUGCGAUCAUUUCUUGCUUUUUUUUUUUUUUUGUGACAGAGUUUUGCUGGAGUGCAAGUGGAGUGCAGGCUGGAGUGUAGUGGCAUGAUCAUAACUCACUGCAGCCUAGACCUCCCAGGCUUAAGCAAUCCUCCUGCCUCAGCCUCCUGAGUAGCUAGGGCUACACAUGUGCACUACCAUACCUGGCUAAUUUUUUUAUUUUUGUAGAAAUGGGAUCUCUCCAUGUUGCCCAGGCUGAUCUCGAACUCCUGGGCUCAAGCGAUUCUCUCGUGUCUGCCUCCCAAAUUGCUGGGAUUACAGACGUGAACCACUGUGCCCAAUUUUCCUGCUUCUUCCUAAUCUCUUUUCCUCCCUCUGAGGAUGAGGAUAAUUCCCAAAGAUGCUAACAAAGCUGUGAAUGUGGAGGAACCAGAAUUUUGCUCUGCGUCUAGGGCAACGUUUUAUUUGGUUGUUAGAAACACCUAAUUAAUAUACACAAUUUUACUUCACGUGCCUGUUGUUUCUUGAAAGGCGAGGGGUUCCUCUUUGAGUAUCAUGCAAUCCCAUCUUUAUCAAAUGUUAUUUGAGAAAACUGCCACUGAAAAAUCAAUAAAACAGUUAUUGGAAAAGAAUCAUCCCGAUGAGUGUCCAUUAAGUCUCUAGCAAAGAUUGAUUUCAAAUAAAGGACUGUUGUAUAAAAAACUAACUCUUGGCUAUAAGAGCUUAUAAUGGUGGAAUAGUUUUUGUGUCUGCUUUUAAAAGCUAUUUGGAUCAUUUUCCUCCUUGUCAGCACUCUUUAUAUCUAUGGGAUCAUUCUUUAAUGCAAACAUAGUAGUUCAAGGCAUAGAAUCUGGAGC